GACGAACGCUGGCGGCGUGCCUAAUACAUGCAAGUCGAGCGAAUGGAUUAAGAGCUUGCUCUUAUGAAGUUAGCGGCGGACGGGUGAGUAACACGUGGGUAACCUGCCCAUAAGACUGGGAUAACUCCGGGAAACCGGGGCUAAUACCGGAUAACAUUUUGAACCGCAUGGUUCGAAAUUGAAAGGCGGCUUCGGCUGUCACUUAUGGAUGGACCCGCGUCGCAUUGGCUAGUUGGUGAGGUAACGGCUCACCAAGGCAACGAUGCGUAGCCGACCUGGGAGGGUGAUCGGCCACACUGGGACUGAGGCACGGCCCAGACUCCUACGGGAGGCAGCAGUAGGGAAUCUUCCGCAAUGGACGAAAGUCUGACGGAGCAACGCCGCGUGAGUGAUGAAGGCUUUCGGGUCGUAAAACUCUGUUGUUAGGGAAGAACAAGUGCUAGUUGAAUAAGCUGGCACCUUGACGGUACCUAACCAGAAAGCCACGGCUAACUACGUGCCAGCCGCCGCAGUAA
rnacentral:rRNA from 1 species